GACGAACGCUGGCGGCGUGCCUAAUACAUGCAAGUUGAGCGAUGAAGAUUGGUGCUUGCACCAAUUUGAAGAGCAGCGAACGGGUGAGUAACGCGUGGGGAAUCUGCCUUUGAGCGGGGGACAACAUUUGGAAACGAAUGCUAAUACCGCAUAACAACUUUAAACAUAAGUUUUAAGUUUGAAAGAUGCAAUUGCAUCACUCAAAGAUGAUCCCGCGUUGUAUUAGCUAGUUGGUGAGGUAAAGGCUCACCAAGGCGAUGAUACAUAGCCGACCUGAGAGGGUGAUCGGCCACAUUGGGACUGAGACACGGCCCAAACUCCUACGGGAGGCAGCAGUAGGGAAUCUUCGGCAAUGGACGAAAGUCUGACCGAGCAACGCCGCGGGAGUGAAGAAGGUUUUCGGAUCGUAAAACUCUGUUGGUAGAGAAGAACGCUGGUGAGAGUGGAAAGCUCAUCAAGUGACGGUAACUACCCAGAAAGGGACGGCUAACUACGU
rnacentral:rRNA from 1 species